AGAGUUUGAUCAUGGCUCAGGACGAGCGCUGGCGGCGUGCCUAAUACAUGCGAGUCGAACGAGAAUUUCUUACACCGAGUGCUUGCACUCACCGUAAGAAAUUCGAGUGGCGGACGGGUGAGUAACACGUGGGUAACCUGCCCAAAAGAAGGGGAUAACAUUUGGAAACAAAUGCUAAUACCGUAUAACCAUGAUGACCGCAUGGUCAUUAUGUAAAAGGUGGUUUUGCUAUCGCUUUUGGAUGGACCCGCGGCGUAUUAACUAGUUGGUAGGGUAACGGCCUACCAAGGUGAUGAUACGUAGCCGAGUUGAGAGACUGAUCGGCCACAAUGGGACUGAGACACGGCCCAUACUCCUACGGGAGGCAGCAGUAGGGAAUCUUCCACAAUGGGCGCAAGCCUGAUGGAGCAACGCCGCGUGAAUGAAGAAGGUCUUCGGAUCGUAAAAUUCUGUUGUUAGAGAAGAAUAUGAGUAAUAGUAACUGAUUAUUCACUGACGGUAUCUAACCAGCAAGUCACGGCUAACUACGUGCCAGCAGCCGCGGUAAUACGUAGGUGGCAAGCGUUGUCCGGAUUUAUUGGGCGUAAAGGGAACGCAGGCGGUUUUUUAAGUCUGAUGUGAAAGCCUUCGGCUUAACCGGAGAUGUGCAUUGGAAACUGGAAGACUUGAGUGCAGAAGAGGAGAGUGGAACUCCAUGUGUAGCGGUGAAAUGCGUAGAUAUAUGGAAGAACACCAGUGGCGAAAGCGGCUCUCUGGUCUGUAACUGACGCUGAGGUUCGAAAGCAUGGGUAGCGAACAGGAUUAGAUACCCUGGUAGUCC
rnacentral:rRNA from 1 species